CCCUGCAUAGUAUAGUGGUUUGAGCUUGGACUAUGACUCUGAAGACAUGGGUUUGAAUCCCAGUUUGGCCA